AAGUAAUAGAAUCAUGGAAGAGUAACAAUUUUCUUUGAAGUUUCAUUUUUGGUUUGCAAUGUAGACAACAGGGGUUUACAGUUGUUCAAAUCUCAAACAUCAAAUAAGGAAACAAAUAAAAACUGAAGGAAUGAGCUCCUGGAAUCAGACCAGUGCCUUUAGAGGGAAAGUGUCUCCUGAUAUGCAUGUAUCACCUGUCCAAUCUGCAUACACCACUUUUUAUGCCCCACCUACGAUAGUAGAGGGGCAUUAUGUUUUCUGGUCUGUGCGUCCGUCCGUUCGUCCGUCCGUUCGUCCCUUCGUUCGUCCGUCUGUCCCGCCUCAGGUUAAAGUUUUUGGUCAAGGUAGUUUUUGAUGAAGCUGAAGUCCAAUCAACUUGAAACUUAGUACAUAUGUUCCUUAUGAUAUGAUCUUUCUAAUUUUAAAGACAAAUUAAACUUUUGACCCAUAUUUCACGGUCCAUUGAACA
rnacentral:lncRNA from 1 species